GAGGAAUAUUGGUCAAUGGGCGAGAGCCUGAACCAGCCAAGUAGCGUGCAGGAUGACGGCCCUAUGGGUUGUAAACUGCUUUUGUAUGGGGAUAAAGUCAGUCAUGUGUGAUUGUUUGCAGGUACCAUACGAAUAAGGACCGGCUAAUUCCGUGCCAGCAGCCGCGGUAAUACGGAAGGUCCAGGCGUUAUCCGGAUUUAUUGGGUUUAAAGGGAGCGUAGGCUGGAGAUUAAGUGUGUUGUGAAAUGUAGACGCUCAACGUCUGAAUUGCAGCGCAUACUGGUUUCCUUGAGUACGCACAACGUUGGCGGAAUUCGUCGUGUAGCGGUGAAAUGCUUAGAUAUGACGAAGAACUCCGAUUGCGAAGGCAGCUGACGGGAGCGCAACUGACGCUUAAGCUCGAAGGUGCGGGUAUCAAACAGGAUUAGAUACCCUGGUAGUCCGCACAGUAAACGAUGGAUGCCCGCUGUUGGUACCUGGUAUCAGCGGCUAAGCGAAAGCAUUAAGCAUCCCACCUGGGGAGUACGCCGGCAACGGUG
rnacentral:rRNA from 1 species